rnacentral:rRNA from 1 species
CCUACGGGUGGCAGCAGUGAGGAAUAUUGGUCAAUGGCCGAGAGGCUGAACCAGCCAAGUCGCGUGAAGGAUGACUGCCCUAUGGGUUGUAAACUUCUUUUAUAAAGGAAUAAAACGAGGCACGUGUGCCUUUUUGCGUGUACUUUAUGAAUAAGGAUCGGCUAACUCCGUGCCAGCAGCCGCGGUAAUACGGAGGAUCCGAGCGUUAUCCGGAUUUAUUGGGUUUAAAGGGUGCGUAGAUGGGUCGUUAAGUCAGUUGUGAAAGUUUGCGGCUCAAACGUAAAAUUGCAAUUGAUACUGGCAUUCUUGAGUACAGUUGAGGUAGGCGGAAUUCGUGGUGGAGCGGUGAAAUGCAUAGAUAUCACGAAGAACCCCGAUUGCGAAGGCAGCGUACUAACCUGUGACUGACAUUGAUGCUCGAAAGUGUGGGUAUCAAACAGGAUUAGAUACCCGAGUAGUC